rnacentral:rRNA from 1 species
UACGAAGGGGCUAGCGUUGCUCGGAAUCACUGGGCGUAAAGCGCACGUAGGCGGAUUGUUAAGUCAGGGGUGAAAUCCUGGAGCUCAACUCCAGAACUGCCUUUGAUACUGCGAUCUCGAGUCCGGGAGAGGUGAGUGGAACUGCGAGUGUAGAGGUGAAAUUCGUAGAUAUUCGCAAGAACACCAGUGGCGAAGGCGGCUCACUGGCCCGGUACUGACGCUGAGGUG